rfam:Toxocara canis scaffold1055, whole genome shotgun sequence.
GUGGCAGUACCUCAGUGGUGGAGUUCUCGCUUCAUAUGCGGGAAGACCUGGGUUCGAUUCCCGGCUGCUUACC